UACGUAGGGUGCGAGCGUUAAUCGGAAUUACUGGGCGUAAAGCGUGCGCAGGCGGUUGUGCAAAACAGAUGUGAAAUCCCCGGGCUUAACCUGGGAACUGCAUUUGUGACUGCACAGCUGGAGUGCGGCAGAGGGGGAUGGAAUUCCGCGUGUAGCAGUGAAAUGCGUAGAUAUGCGGAGGAACACCGAUGGCGAAGGCAAUCCCCUGGGCCUGCACUGACGCUCAUGCACGAAAGCGUGGGGAGCAAACAGG
rnacentral:rRNA from 1 species